GACGAACGCUGGCGGCGUGCUUAACACAUGCAAGUCGAACGGAAAGGCCUGCUUUCCCUUGUGGAUUGCGGGUACUCGAGUGGCGAACGGGUGAGUAACACGUGAGUGAUCUGCCCCCAACUUGGGUAUAAGCCUGGGAAACUGGGUCUAAUUCCCGAUAGGACUGCAGGGUGGUGCCUGUGGUGGAAAACGAUUUUCUAGUGGUUGGGGAUGAGCUCGCGGCCUAUCAGCUUGUUGGUGGGGUAAUGGCCUACCAAGGCGGCGACGGGUAGCCGGCCUGGGAGGGUGGACGGCCACAGUGGGACUGAGAUACGGCCCAGACUCCUACGGGAGGCAGCAGUGGGGAAUAUUGCACAAUGGGCGGAAGCCUGAGGCAGCGACGCCGCGGGGGGGAUGACGGCCUUCGGGUUGUAAACUCCUUUCGACCGCGAGGAAGCCACCUGGUUGGAAGGGUGGUGACGGUAGUGGUAGAAGAAGCACCGGCUAACUACGUG
rnacentral:rRNA from 1 species